GAUGAAGAACGCAGCGAAAUGCGAUACGUAAUGUGAAUUGCAGAUUUCAGUGAAUCAUCGAAUCUUUGAACGCACAUUGCGCCCGCCAGUAUUCUGGCGGGCAUGCCUGUUCGAGCGUCAUUUCAACCAUCAAGCGCCUCGCUUGUGUUGGGGCCCUGCGGCUGCCGCAGGCCCCUAAAUCCAGUGGCGGGCUCGUCGUCGUACCGAGUGCAGUAAACAUCCUCGCUCAGGGAACCCGACGGGUGCCGGCCGUGAAACCCCCCCUCCUCAAGGUUGACCUCGGAUCAGGUAGGAAUACCCGCUGAACUUAAGCAUAUCAAUAAGCGGAGGA
rnacentral:misc_RNA from 1 species